rnacentral:lncRNA from 1 species
GGGCUGCUGAAUUCUUCAAUAUGAACCAUCCCUUUGAUAAGAAACUGAGUGGGCCUGGUUCUUCUCAUCCCAGGAGAGCUCUGGUGUGCUUCCUGGCAUAUAAGUCAUCUGUUAUAUUUUUCUAGCCUCAUGGAGAGAGGUGCUGACGCCAUUUGGAAGAAUAAUAUCCUGAGGUGCAGAGAUGGAGAAUCUGAAGCGCAGCACGAAGAGGUGUAUUAACUUGAUGAAGGUCACACGGCCAGGAGCAAUUUAAAAGAAGAAAAAAAAUCCUUCUCUGAAUGGAGACAGAUGCCAUAUAUGUUGGACCCUCAGGGGAUUGAAAAGGAUGAGGUUCCCAAGUCCAGUGUUCUGGGGACGGACGUGGGU